rnacentral:rRNA from 1 species
ACAUCCAGAGAAUUUAGCAGAGAUGCUUUUAGUGCCUUCGGGAACUCUGAGACAGGUGCUGCAUGGCUGUCGUCAGCUCGUGUUGUGAAAUGUUGGGUUAAGUCCCGNAACGAGCGCAACCCUUAUCCUUUGUUGCCAGCACGUAAUGGUGGGAACUCAAAGGAGACUGCCGGUGAUAAACCGGAGGAAGGUGGGGAUGACGUCAAGUCAUCAUGGCCCUUACGAGUAGGGCUACACACGUGCUACAAUGGCGCAUACAAAGAGAAGCGACCUCGCGAGAGCAAGCGGACCUCAUAAAGUGCGUCGUAGUCCGGAUUGGAGUCUGCAACUCGACUCCAUGAAGUCGGAAUCGCUAGUAAUCGUAAAUCAGAAUGUUACGGUGAAUACGUUCCCGGGCCUUGUACACACCGCCCGUCACACCAUGGGAGUGGGUUGCAAAAGAAGUAGAUAGCUUAACCUUCGGGAGGGCGUUUACCACUUUGUGAUUCAUGACUGGGGUGAAGUCGUAACAAGGUAAGCGUAGUGCU